CCUACGGGAGGCAGCAGUGAGGAAUAUUGGUCAAUGGGCUUAUGCCUGAACCAGCCAAGUCGCGUGAGGGAAGACUGCCCUAUGGGUUGUAAACCUCUUUUGUCAGGGAGCAACGCCGGCUACGUGUAGCCGGACUGAGAGUACCUGAAGAAAAAGCAUCGGCUAACUCCGUGCCAGCAGCCGCGGUAAUACGGAGGAUGCGAGCGUUAUCCGGAUUGAUUGGGUUUAAAGGGUGCGUAGGCGGAAUGCCAAGUCAGCGGUAAAAUCGCGGGGCUCAACCUCGCUCCGCCGUUGACACUGGCGUUCUUGAGUGGGCGAGAAGUAUGCGGAAUGCGUGGUGUAGCGGUGAAAUGCAUAGAUAUCACGCAGAACUCCGAUUGCGAAGGCAGCAUACCGGCGCCCAACUGACGCUGAAGCACGAAAGCGUGGGUAUCGAACAGGAUUAGAUACCCGAGUAGUC
rnacentral:rRNA from 1 species